rfam:Helobdella robusta unplaced genomic scaffold HELROscaffold_78, whole genome shotgun sequence.
GCCCGGUUAGCUCAGUCGGUAGAGCAUCAGACUUUUAAGAGCUGAGUACCUCAAGUCAUCUGAGGGUCAUGGGUUCGAGUCCCAUAUCGGGCG